AGCAAAGUACAAACAGAAUCAGCACAGACCAGACACCUGUCUUCACCAUGAAGCUAAAAGGUGCCUUUGUGUUCCUUUCCCUGGCAUUUUGCUGCUUCAUUUUAGGCGUCACCACUCAAGAUGAGAGUCAGCCUGACUGCAGUAAAUACAAAAAUCCAGAUGGAACCUGGAUAGGAGGCUGUCCAAGGAACUAUGCACCAGUCUGUGGAACAGACGGCAUCACUCACAGCAAUGAAUGUUUG